UUGGGAAGUAAAAGUCGUAACAAGGUUUCCGUAGGUGAACCUGCGGAAGGAUCAUUAUGCAUAUCUGGGAUACCAAGAGGGUCCCUGAAUCCAUCUCCUCACUGUGUACCAAUCCAUGUUGCUUUCCCAGGUCCGCCUGGGAGAGGUCCAACCCAACACCAAUAAUUGAGUCCGCAGUCUGAGUAGGCCUAGCGCCUUGAAUGUUUGAACAAGUUAAAACUUUCAACAACGGAUCUCUUGGCUCUCGCAUCGAUGAAGAACGCAGCGAAAUGCGAUAAGUAAUGUGAAUUGCAGAAUUCAGUGAAUCAUCGAAUCUUUGAACGCACAUUGCGCCUCUUGGUAUUCCUUGAGGCAUGCCUGUUCGAGCGUCACUACAAACCCUCUCAUAGUUAUUAUGGUAUUGAUGGAAGUGAACUGUGUCUAUUGAUGUACUCACACCACUCCAUUGAAAUGAAUAGGCAGGACAAGUGACAACUGCAAUGGACUUAGUAAAUGGUUUCCAGACAUGGACCAGUUCUUUGCUAUGUUGUACAGCCUGUAUCCAUGGACUCCCAUCCAGUAAGCACCCUUGGGUGACCUCGAAUU
rnacentral:rRNA from 1 species